UACGUAGGGAGCGAGCGUUGUCCGGAUUCAUUGGGCGUAAAGCGCUUUAAGGCGGUUCGGUAAGUCGGGCGUGAAACCUCCAGGCUCAACCUGGAGACGCCACUCGAUACUGCUGUGACUAGAGUUCGGUAGGGGAUCACGGAAUUCCUGGUGUAGCGGUGAAAUGCGCAGAUAUCAGGAGGAACACCGGUGGCGAAGGCGGUGAUCUGGGCCGACACUGACGCUGUAGAGCGAAAGCGUGGGGAGCGAACAGG
rnacentral:rRNA from 1 species